rnacentral:misc_RNA from 1 species
GUAGGUGAACCUGCGGAAGGAUCAUUAACACAAAUUUAUUUUCAUUUUUUUUUUGGGAGAGUGAAAUUUCAUUAUUUCAUUUAUUUUAAAAAAAAAAAUUGAUAAUUAAUAAACCCCCCCUUUUUUUUUGGAUGAAUUGAAUUUUUUGGGAAGGAUUUUUUUUAAAUCUUUUCCAAAUUAUUUUUUAUUUUUAUUAUUUUUAACCCCAACUAAAAAUAUUUAAUGUAAAAAAAAACUAAUAUAUUCUUUU